rnacentral:lncRNA from 1 species
CAGAAUUAUUCAUAGAUGUAUAUACAAGCUAAGGGGAUCAAGACCAUAAUCAUGGGCAAGCUUGAGUAUAUACAUAUAUCUCAAGGGGUGAACAACAAACAGUCUCAUCCAAAGAAAAGACUAAAAUCAGAACAGCAAAAUAGUUCUCAGCAUGAAGACACGGAACAGAAUUUUGACAGGCACUAAGAGGAGGAUAAUAUAAGGUAGAGGAAACAAUUUGAAUAUUUACUUCUUUGUUUUUUCCUAUUUUCAACUCUUUUUUUUCUUUACAGGCUCCCUUUUCACAACACCAGGGGAUCAUUUCAGUGUGAGAAGUUAGUAUACCCAGCCUUUUCUAAUUGGACACGUAUGGCAUGGAAAUCAUUCUGUUGGUAUUCAAUGUUUCAAUCAACUAUUUAAACUUAACAGCAUAAAGCAAUCUGAAUGAGACUAUUAACAUACCUCAGGAAUGAUAAAUUUGCCGGUCAGAAGACAGAUGGCAGGAAGCGUACAGUAAGCAAGCAAGGGUAAAGAUGUGAGAGGAUAGACGAUUGUAUUAAUAUAUGCUAAUCUCUCCAGAAGCAUCAAUCUGCCACUGUAGCCAUACCAUAUUGGG